rnacentral:lncRNA from 1 species
GUGUGACUGUGUGUGUUUAUGAGGUGUGACUGUGUGUGUUUAUGAGGAGUGACUGUAUGUUUAUGAGGAGUGACUGUGUGUUUAUGAGGAGUGACUGUGUCUGUUUAUGAGGUGUGACUGUGUGUGUUUGAGGUGUGACUGUGUGUGUUUAUGAGGAGUGACUGUGUGUGUUUAUGAGGAGUGACUGUGUGUUUAUGAGGAGUGACUGUGUGUUUAUGAGGAGUGACUGUGUGUUUAUGAGGAGUGACUGUGUGUGUUUAUGAGGUGUGACUGUGUGUGUUUAUGAGGUGUGACUGUGUGUGUUUAUGAGGUGUGACUGUGUGUGUUUAUGAGGAGUGACUGUGUGUGUUUGAGGAGUGACUGUGUGUGUUUAUGAGGAGUGACUGUGUGUGUUUAUGAGGAGUGACUGUGUGUGUUUAUGCAGUGUGACUGUGUGUGUUUAUGAUGAGUGACUGUGUGUUUAUGAGGAGUGACUGUGUGUGUUUAUGAGGAGUGACUGUGUGUGCUUAUGAGGAGUGACUGUGUGUGUUUAUGAGGAGUGACUGUGUGUGUUUAUGAGGUUUGACUGUGUGUUUAUGAGGAGUGACUGUGUGUGUUUAUGAGGAGUGACUGUGUCUGUUUAUGAGGUGUGACUGUGUGUGUUUAUGAGGUGUGACUGUGUGUGUUUAUGAGGAGUGACUGUGUGUGUUUAUGAG